ACUCCUGCGGGAGGCAGCAGUGGGGAAUUUUGGACAAUGGGCGAAAGCCUGAUCCAGCAAUGCCGCGUGUGUGAAGAAGGCCUUCGGGUUGUAAAGCACUUUUGUCCGGAAAGAAAUCCUUGGCUCUAAUACAGUCGGGGGAUGACGGUACCGGAAGAAUAAGCACCGGCUAACUACGUGCCAGCAGCCGCGGUAAUACGUAGGGUGCGAGCGUUAAUCGGAAUUACUGGGCGUAAAGCGUGCGCAGGCGGUUUGCUAAGACCGAUGUGAAAUCCCCGGGCUCAACCUGGGAACUGCAUUGGUGACUGGCAGGCUAGAGUAUGGCAGAGGGGGGUAGAAUUCCACGUGUAGCAGUGAAAUGCGUAGAGAUGUGGAGGAAUACCGAUGGCGAAGGCAGCCCCCUGGGCCAAUACUGACGCUCAUGCACGAAAGCGUGGGGAGCAAACAGGAUUAGAUACCCGUGUAGUCC
rnacentral:rRNA from 1 species